GUAUCGGGCGCUCCAGUCACAGAAUCCCGUCUGCAUCGUGGCCGAGAUGAAACUUUUGUGUCCAGCAGCAUCAUCCGGAUCGUCGGUGGUCUUCCAGGCAUUUGGAAAGGAGGAGGGGAGAAAAGAACAGAAACAACAGAGCUGCAGUGUGAAAAGUGAGUGGCAGCCAGAGGGUGACUAACUCUGCUCGGCUCACUCUUCUGCGGGUGGGAAGUGACGCAGCCCCGGCUCGACGUGACCUGAAGGGUGAAGAGCCCCACCUCACUGCGACCCAGGCCGACAGCUGCUGGCACACAGCUCUAACGUCCCACCACUUCUGGAAGAGCUGAGGGGCCCGCCCCGGCAUAGGAGAUUUCCACGACUGCAGCUUGCACGUUGGUGACCACAGGGUUUCAGGCCUACAGGAAGCUUUCUCUAGCCUAACAAUUCCUAUUGAUUCAAUAAACUGUUACUCAGCGUU